rnacentral:lncRNA from 10 species
CUCGGAGACACGUGUCUCUCUAGGAGGAUCACUAUACCGCAUUGUUUCUCCAUGGCUCUCAUGUACUCUUUUGAGACCUUAGUGUGCUGUUUCUAGAUCAACAAUUUAUGAUAUUUAUUGAGCACCUGCAAUGUGUCCAGCUUUGUGCUUGGUGAUGUGAAGGCAAGAGAUAAACACAAAGAGAGUUUUUGCCUCCGAAAUGACAAGCAGAGAACCACAAGGCAAUGUUGAGAUGCAGAGGGUGGCAGUUUCCCUCCUAGCAGAGUGACUCACUCAUGCCUCCACUCCAGGGUGCAGGGCUUAGAUUCAUGACAGGGACCUCAUCAAAUAACCAGGAAAGAUUAAUCACCUGAGAAGAGAAGAGACUGGGAAUCUUCACCCUGCCCAGACAGACUUUUCAUCUAUUCUCCUGAGAGCAGCUCCAAGAGAUUACCUGUGGGACUCAAUUUGCAUAAUAAGAUGACCUUUGUUCCUGUGCAGUUCCACCCCUCACCUUCCCA